rnacentral:lncRNA from 1 species
AGUGUCAUGUAAUUAUAUUUUAUUAUAGUUAUGCAAUUGAUAAGCUAAACAUCACCAGACCUGUGAUAAACAAGAAAAAAAAAAAACUUGAAAAUCUGGAAGCCAUAAACAAAGAAACAAAGAGAAAUAUUCUUCCUCCAAUUCAAUGAAGUAUUAUAUUUAAGCAGAAUCUGUAUUAUUAUGGGUAAGUAAUUGGGCAAAUAACAUUUCAGGAGUGAUUAUUGUUAACAUAUUCCUAGAGCAGUUAUUUUUCACACCAAUGAUAAACUCAAAAGAAUGAC